AAGUGUGUUGUGAAAUGUAGACGCUCAACGUCUGAAUUGCAGCGCAUACUGGUUUCCUUGAGUACGCACAACGUUGGCGGAAUUCGUCGUGUAGCGGUGAAAUGCUUAGAUAUGACGAAGAACUCCGAUUGCGAAGGCAGCUGACGGGAGCGCAACUGACGCUUAAGCUCGAAGGUGCGGGUAUCAAACAGGAUUAGAUACCCUGGUAGUCCGCACAGUAAACGAUGGAUGCCCGCUGUUGGUACCUGGUAUCAGCGGCUAAGCGAAAGCAUUAAGCAUCCCACCUGGGGAGUACGCCGGCAACGGUGAAACUCAAAGGAAUUGACGGGGGCCCGCACAAGCGGAGGAACAUGUGGUUUAAUUCGAUGAUACGCGAGGAACCUUACCCGGGCUUGAAUUGCAGAGGAAGGAUUUAGAGAUAAUGACGCCCUUCGGGGCCUCUGUGAAGGUGCUGCAUGGUUGUCGUCAGCUCGUGUCGUGAG
rnacentral:rRNA from 1 species